UUCAAUAUUCUAGCCCAAAAGGAACAGUACACCUGGUACAAAUCCGGAGGAAGCAAUAAUUCGAGUAGAGAUAUUUUACCUACGCGUACAGAACACGUGGAUAAAAUAAGCUUUAUCAUGGAUCAAGUUGAGAUUCUGAAGGACCGCACUCACAGGUGGUAAUAAUAAUGCAAGUAGUAUGAACCGUGUCAAUAAAGCAGACGUCCUCUGUUAAAGUAUGUCGGCCGGUUUCAAGAUUCUUAUCUUACUUUUCCAAAAGUUGGGAUAAGAAUAUUUACUUUUCAGAAAGAUGCUUGUCAGUUUGUAAAAGUGGGAUGAAUUAUUAGCCCACUCAGUCUUAAUAGCUUGUCCUUUGUAUGACUCAACGCUUAUACGCGUUAUCAAAAGAUAGUGGAGGAAUCUUAAUAAUUCGUCGAUGGGGCCCAAUGAGCACCCAGAAUUAUUGAUUUCUUGGCUAUAAAUAAGUGUGUAAUUCAUAGAGUUGCAGCAUCGAGAACUCAUCUCAAAUACUACUCUCUCAAUCUGUAAAAUACCAGAAAAAUAAAAGGUUUGUUAUAUACUAUAUUUACUAUUAAGCCUGUUCUUUAGUGCAAGACUUGUGAACAGCCGAUCCCCUUUUGCCGAUCCCCUUACCCCCCUUGGUAUCAGAGCGAGGUUCAUCAAUCAAGAUAAUGGCUGCCUAAGCCACCCUUAAGGAGGCUGGCACUCUAAGUAUUCAUAAUCACUUGGCUACUGCAGCAGUCCAACUCAUCCUAAAAAGACGAUCAACGGUAGAAGAAAUAAAGAAGCACAGUAAAUCCAGCAGUUCAGGGAGAAGUCAAAACAAAAGGGCAGACCCAAUUAGUAAGGCAGAGGAGAGUAAGACCUGAAGUGGGUGCAUGAGUCAGACAAGCUCUAGGAAGCAGGAUAAGCUGGUGCCUAUUUAUGCCAAGCUGCUGAAUGUCUCAAAGGUUCGAGGAGGCUAUUAAGAAGUGAUAAGGAAUGUCAAGCGGACCGGAAUAUGAAACAGAGUUUGAUACUAAUAGACGAGGCUAUGGAGGAGUUACGAGACCAAACUGGAAGCCCAGUUUCGAAAGCCCAUUUAGACGAAAUAUCCCUUAUGGCCCAGAAGUUGUCAUGGACCCUAAUGUCAACAACCAUCUAUCCAGCCUCAGGCAAACAUUCAGAAGCCCAGUAUCCAUUCAAGUCAGAGAUCAAUUGGAGGAACAAGCCUGAGAAGCAGAGCAAAAAGCAGCCCAAGAAGCCCAAAAGGCUUUGGCCCGGUAGUUCAAUAUUCUAGCCCAAAAGGAACAGUACACCUGGUACAAAUCCGGAGGAAGCAAUAAUUCGAGUAGAGAUAUUUUACCUACGCGUACAGAACACGUGGAUAAAAUAAGCUUUAUCAUGGAUCAAGUUGAGAUUCUGAAGGACCGCACUCACAGGUGGUAAUAAUAAUGCAAGUAGUAUGAACCGUGUCAAUAAAGCAGACGUCCUCUGUUAAAGUAUGUCGGCCGGUUUCAAGAUUCUUAUCUUACUUUUCCUAAAGUUGGGAUAAGAAUAUUUACUUUUCAGAAAGAUGCUUGUCAGUUUGUAAAAGUGGGAUGAAUUAUUAGCCCACUCAGUCUUAAUAGCUUGUCCUUUGUAUGACUCAACGCUUAUACGCGUUAUCAAAAGAUAGUGGAGGAAUCUUAAUAAUUCGUCAAUGGGGCCCAAUGAGCACCCGGAAUUAUUGAUUUCUUAGCUAUAAAUAAGUGUGUAAUUCAUAGAGUUGCAGCAUCGAGAACUCAUCUCAAAUACUACUCUCUCAAUCUGUAAAAUACCAGAAAAAUAAAAGGUUUGUUAUAUACUAUAUUUACUAUUAAGCCUGUUCUUUAGUGCAAGACUUGUGAACAGCCGAUCCCCUUUUGCCGAUCCCCUUACCCCCCUUGGUAUCAGAGCGAGGUUCAUCAAUCAAGAUAAUGGCUGCCUAAGCCACCCUUAAGGAGGCUGGCACUCUAAGUAUUCAUAAUCACUUGGCUACUGCAGCAGUCCAACUCAUCCUAAAAAGACGAUCAACGGUAGAAGAAAUAAAGAAGCACAGUAAAUCCAGCAGUUCAGGGAGAAGUCAAAACAAAAGGGCAGACCCAAUUAGUAAGGCAGAGGAGAGUAAGACCUGAAGUGGGUGCAUGAGUCAGACAAGCUCUUGCAAUACUGUAUUCUAGACUAAAGAAAAAUCCUCAGCCAUGGACUGAAGAACAUUCUCUAGCAGUAAGGAGAAUAAAAGCAAAGGUAAAAUGUUUACCUUGUUUAUCUUUGGCAAAUCCAAAGUAUUUUAAAAUUGUUGAAACAGAUGCUUCUAAUAUAGGCUAUGGUGGAAUUUUAAAACAAAUAAAUCCAAACACUUCAAAAGAAGAGCUUGUUAGAUUUACUUGGGGAAAAUGGAAUUUCACUCAGUCAAAAUACUCGACUAUUAAGAAAGAAAUGCUUUCUAUUAUCAAGUGCAUCUCUAAAUUUCAGGAUGACUUAUUAAAUAAAAAAUUCUUGCUUAGAAUUGAUUGUAGUUCUGCAAAAUCUAUAAUAGAAAAGGAUGUCAAGAAUCUUGUAUCCAAGCAAAUAUUUGCAGGCUGGCAAGCUCAGCUUUCAGUCUUUGAAUUUGAUAUUCAAUACAUCAAAGGAGAAAAUAAUUCUCUUGCUGAUUAUCUAACCCGCGAAUUUUUACAGGGUGAAUGAGUACCCCUAAUAGGGGCAGAGGCCGCGGCUAUGGCCGAGGGCGAGGACGUGGGAGUAACAAUUUGCUACCCCAUACAGAAUCAACUGUUCCUCUAAUUGGAGACUGGACAGUAUACCGAAAUAAUCGGGUAAGAAAUGUGCAACAAUUGCCUGCACCUCCUAAAAAGGAAGAUAUACCUUCCUCAUCAUCAAAAACAAUGACUUUUAAAGAGGCAGCAAUUACUGAAACUCCUCCAGAUCAAGAAUACUUUGAAAAUCCGAUUACAAAAAAUAUUCUGUAUCUUGAAGAAGAAGAUAUUCUUAUGACUCCAAAUGAUGGAUGGUCAUUGAAAACCAGGUACCUUGAAAAUAGAGGGUAUGCUGCUUUGCAAAAUCAGCCCAGAUUAUAUCUGGAAAUUCUGUUGACAAUUACCGAAUCGGUAACAAUUGUUCAUCAUUAUCAGAAUAAUAACCCUGAAAGUUUUAUAAACUUCAGCAAAUGCCACAUCAACAAGGUAUUAACUCCCAGAGAAUGGGGAUUGAAUCCUAAUGAAGGUAAAGCAAUAAAAAUUGCUGAAGGUAAAUAUAUUUAUUUUAAUUACUGGGAUUAUAUCCAAGCUUAGUCUAAAGCAUUUUAUUAUCAAAAUCCCAAGAAUAAACAUUCUUGGUUUUUCUCAGUAAACCCUGAAGUGCUUAAUAAGCACAUACCAAAUUGGUUUUAUGAAUGGUGGUCAAAAUUUGGCCCUUCUCUUGAAAUUCUACCAGAAAAAAUUAUGAAUUUAUAUAACUCCUGGUGUGAUAACAGCCCUCUGGUAACACGCAUUAAAUCUAAAAGAUUAAUUUUUGGACAAUGUCCUUUCAUAUUUUUCUCAAAAUUUCAAAUUCCUUGGAUUUGGAGAUGGACAAUUUCUAUCGAUAAAGACAAGCUAGGAAUUCCUCUGCUACAAAGGAAUUUCUUCUAUAAAUGGUGGACGAAGAUGAGUUCUGAAGAUAUUCAGAAGAUAGAGUCCAACAUCAAGAUGGUAAUAAACCAUGAUGAAAAACAAAUCCAUGAUGGACAAAGUUCACAGCAGACUCCAAUGGAGGACCUGAAAACUUAUUUUCAGAAAAAGUUCCCUAAUGAAUCAGAUCAAAAGAUCAUGAAGAGGGUUUUAGACCAUAUGAAGAAUCAAUGCUUCAGUACAUUUUCAUUUCCUAAUGAAGAUCAGUCAAUGAAAACGGCAUCAUCACCAGGAUCAAUGGAUUCUUAUAAUUCUUUUAAUGUUUUAGCAGGUGAAUCUCAGGAAGAAGAAUAUACUCCUACUCCUGAAGAUUUCUGGGAUGGUCUAAUUGCAUCCCUUACAACUUCAAAUUUUAAGGGGAAAGGAAAGGAUCCAGAAUUAUAAUGA